GACGAGGGUGGGCCGCGGCAACAACGAGAACCAUAAUAAGAAACGGAAAGAGAGAGAAGAGACGAUGAAGACUGAAUGAGCACUUGUGGUUGGCGUCGUAGGGUUCCGAGGUGGAUUAAAUGGAAGAUAGGGUCAACCACUUUUCAUUUUUCUUAUAAGACUUUUUUUUAUUAUUAUGCAACCAUGUAUUACAUACCAUCUCUCAUUUUUCUCAUAAGAUUUUUUUAUUAUGCAGUGAGUCUGUGUUUAUUAAAUCAUUCUGAGAAGAUAAAAGGGAAUUGAGCAUUAAAUUAAUGAUAGCAUUUGAAGCAAUCUCGAUCCAUACCUUAUCCAUCUCAAAUCCAAACCUGAUCCAACUUGGAUCCAAUCUACCUCA
rnacentral:lncRNA from 1 species